AAGGGAGACCUAAUUCAGGUAUGGGACGAAAAAAAAGUAGUCGCUACCAAGAAUCAAUCCCAAAAGGUCGGAGCGAGGUAUGAGGCUUUCAAACUAGGUUCUGGGUUCAAACAAGACCUGAAUCAGGAACAAGGGCUAUUAGCUCAGGUGGUUAGAGCGCACCCCUGAUAAGGGUGAGGUCCCUGGUUCGAGUCCAGGAUGGCCCACCUGCACAGGUGGCAAAAACAAGAGAAGCGAGGACUCAGCACCUUAUCUUAUCUAUAUAUAUAUAGGAGAGAAUGCUGGCUCUGAGUAAAGAGUCCAGAGGAACCUUGAAAACUGCAUAGAGCUAGGUGAAAAAGCCAAAAAAGAAGACCGCAAGGUCAAGCUAAUAAGGGCUAACGGUGGAUACCUAGGCAC
rnacentral:tRNA from 1 species